GGCAGCAGUGAGGAAUAUUGGUCAAUGGGCGCGAGCCUGAACCAGCCAAGUCGCGUGAGGGAUGAAGGUUCUAUGGAUCGUAAACCUCUUUUAUAAGGGAAUAAAGUGGAGGACGUGUCCUUUUUUGUAUGUACCGUAUGAAUAAGGAUCGGCUAACUCCGUGCCAGCAGCCGCGGUAAUACGGAGGAUCCGAGCGUUAUCCGGAUUUAUUGGGUUUAAAGGGAGCGUAGAUGGGUUGUUAAGUCAGUUGUGAAGGUUUGCGGCUCAACCGUAAAAUUGCAAUUGAUACUGGCAGUCUUGAGUACAGUUGAGGUAGGCGGAAUUCGUGGUGUAGCGGUGAAAUGCUUAGAUAUCACGAAGAACUCCGAUUGCGAAGGCAGCUUACUAACCUGUAACUGACAUUGAUGCUCGAAAGUGUGGGUAUCAAACAGGAUUAGAUACCC
rnacentral:rRNA from 1 species